UUCAUGUCAACUAGAAUUUUAAAAAUAUUACUACAACUUAUCCAUCACUUCAUCAAGCUUAAGAUAUCAGUCUGCAUUUCACGACGAUCGAGCAUUGGCCUAAGCUGUUUUCAUGUGCAGAAAUAAAAGCAAUCAUUACAAGAGGUAUUAAUACAUCGUCAAGUUUGUGCACAAUAAAAAGUUCUGGGUUAUAAGUUGCCAUGUCCAACGCAGGGAUACUUUCGAACAAGAUGGGCCGCAAAGCAACAAUCACGUCCUACUCCGGUCUUUUCUCCACUCCUUCCUCGACAUCAUGUACCACAACUUGAUGCUGGCUGAAUGACAAAAAGAAACAAGUUAGCUAGCAUCAGUUCAGAAUCGCACAACACUAUUUUGUAGUAUAAGCAAACUAAUGAGACAGUAUCAACCAACAUAUGAUUUGUGCACUGUGCAUAAAAAAAUCAAGACUACAAAUAUAGUUUAGGAACGCAAUCACAAGGCUGUCCAGUAACCUAAUUUGGUUACUUGAAAAAGUCUCCAGAUGAACAGGGCAAUAUAUUGCUGUGAGG
rnacentral:rRNA from 1 species